rnacentral:rRNA from 1 species
GGGUUGUGAGGUUAAGCGACUAAGCGUACACGGUGGAUGCCCUGGCAGUCAGAGGCGAUGAAGGGCGUGCUAAUCUGCGAUAAGCGCCGGUAAGGUGAUAUGAACCGCUACAACCGGCGAUACCCGAAUGGGGAAACCCAGUGUGACUCGUCACACUAUCAUGCAGUGAAUACAUAGCUGUAUGAGGCGAACCGGGGGAACUGAAACAUCUAAGUACCCCGAGGAAAAGAAAUCAACCGAGAUUCCCCCAGUAGCGGCGAGCGAACGGGGAGGAGCCCAGAACCAUCAUCAGCUUGUGCAUCAGUGGAAGCGUCUGGAAAGUCGCAGGGUACAGGGUGAUACUCCCGUACACAAAGGUGCACAGGCUGUGAGUUCGAUGAGUAAGGCGGGACACGUGGUAUCCUGUCUGAAUAUGGGGGGACCAUCCUCCAAGGCUAAAUACUCCUGACUGACCGAUAGUGAACCAGUACCGUGAGGGAAAGGCGAAAAGAACCCCGGCGAGGGGAGUGAAACAGAACCUGAAACCGUGUACGUACAAGCAGUGGGAGCCUCUUUAUGGGGUGACUGCGUACCUUUUGUAUAAUGGGUCAGCGACUUAUAUUCUGUAGCAAGGUUAACCGCAUAGGGGAGCCGCAGGGAAACCGAGUCUUAACUGGGCGUUAAGUUGCAGGGUAUAGACCCGAAACCCGGUGAUCUAGCCAUGGGCAGGUUGAAGGUUGGGUAACACUAACUGGAGGACCGAACCGAC